GUUUUUAUUGAAAGGUUAAUGAUUGCAAACAUUUAAAUAGUUAAAUCAACUCCUUAACAGAGUAUGGAGUUACAGAGGAAGGUAACAAACAAACCUGACCCUUCCAGGAAGACUGCUGAGGAAUUUUUGGGAAUGUUGGUUUUGUGCAGUGCCCAAGUGACCAAAGGAAUGAAAUGAAGACAAAUGGCAAUAAAAUAAUUCCAGAGGGUGCUACAAGCUUGGCAGUGCCUGAAAUGUACCCUGCAAACUCAGACUGCCUCCAGUACCCAGGGAUUAUUGCUCUUGAUUGUCUACUUUGUUUACCCUUGGCUACACAGUGAUUCAGCUUCAGAAGGAAGGAGAACAAAGCUGCACCCUUCACUCUGCCCUCAACGUCUGUCAAACAAGCCCCAGCUAGGAAAAAUGUGAGUCCAAAUCCAGAAACUCAUCAUUGAUCCAAGAUUGGCAAAGAAUUUUUUGAAAGAACCAAACCCUUCAAGCAAUCAACAUGUGUAGUUCCAAAACCAGUCUGAACCAACGAGUAGUAUUUGGAGCUUGUGUGUUUGGG